UACGUAGGGUGCGAGCGUUGUCCGGAUUUAUUGGGCGUAAAGAGCUCGUAGGUGGUUCGGUAAGUCGGGUGUUAAACCCCCAGGCUCAACCUGGGGACGCCACUCGAUACUGCUGUGACUAGAGUCCGGUAGGGGAGCGUGGAAUUCCUGGUGUAGCGGUGAAAUGCGCAGAUAUCAGGAGGAACACCAGCGGCGAAGGCGGCGCUCUGGGCCGGUACUGACGCUGAGGAGCGAAAGCGUGGGUAGCAAACAGG
rnacentral:rRNA from 1 species